rnacentral:lncRNA from 1 species
UGACCUGAAGAAGCUUCUCGAGCAUUCUGGCGAAAUUCUGGAAGUUCAGAAGAUCAGAGAUGUACCCAGCUGGUGAACUGGAGACUUAGAAGAACUGGUGCAGGGAUAGAUGGAGUCCUAGCUGGUUGGUUACCAGCAUGUGGAAACACUGAUUAUGACCACCGCCCUUCCAUCCCGUUGGUGUUACUGCUGGAGACCUGACCAGCGCUCCUCAAACAGCGCAACGACCCCCUGAUGGAGACCAGUGUUCUACAGCUUCACCGGCAGAAAGGACCUAUGUGUUCCUGGUGCAGCCGCUCCUGCUGGGCCACGAUGGAGGAU